UCCCUUGUAGCUCAGUUGGUAAAGAAUCUGCUUGCAAUGCAGGAGACCCAGGUUAGAUUCCUGGGUCAGGAA
rnacentral:tRNA from 1 species